ACGAGUGGCGGACGGGUGAGUAACGCGUAGGAAUCUGCCCAAAAGUGGGGGACAACGUGGGGAAACCCACGCUAAUACCGCAUAAGCCCUACGGGGUAAAGCAGGGGAUCUUCGGACCUUGCGCUUUUGGAUGAGCCUGCGUUGGAUUAGCUAGUUGGUGAGGUAAAGGCUCACCAAGGCGACGAUCCGUAGCUGGUCUGAGAGGAUGAUCAGCCACACUAGGACUGAGACACGGCCCAG
rnacentral:rRNA from 1 species